rnacentral:lncRNA from 1 species
GCCACCCCCACAGGACACCCUGGAUGAGUGGAGGAUCACCUCAGCCUGUCAUCUGGCCACUUCAGAGAGGCAGAGAGAAACUCCCUAAAGCAGACCCACCAUUUUUGAUUGGUGUAUGUCCAUCUUUCCUAAAGAAGCGGUCCUUGUGUGCCAACCAGCAUCCAGCAGGACCCACCUUACUCACGUUCCUGUGUGCUGGAAAGGCCCAGUCCAUCCAAAAAGCCGUUGCACAGCCCACGUGUCCAAGACCAGAGAUCACUCUGACUUGUUUCCCGUAUUAUGACAUUGCUGGUAAGUACUGUGUGUUUCACCUUUUAAGUGAUUUAAUGUCACAUUUUCAACAAAUCAUACCUUCUCCGGGAUCACAAUCCACUUGCGCAAAAUAGAAUAUGCAGUGUUGAGUCCUCCUCCCCACCUCUUUGCCCUGUCCACUCAGUCCUCUUUCCAAACGGAAAUCAGUGUUACCUGUUUCAUUGAAAUCUUUUCAGAGAUAGUUUGGGCAAGGAAAGUUGAAUGCAAUCCAUUUGCCUUUUCAAGAAGUAUUGCUUUGUCUCUGGUUGAAAAUUAAAAUGUGCGCAGGGAACUGCAUCUUGGACUUGUGAUGGAAAAUGUUGCAGGAUAGUGAGAAAAUGAUUAUAUGUGUAUAAUAUAAAUACAUAUAUA